UAUGCAUCAGGUGGAGAUAAACCUGCGAGUUAAGCGUCUCCUAGCCUGUUGGAGACGCAGCGUACGGCUCAGUAGCACGUAGUUAAUCUGCCCUUGGGACGGGGAUAACCCUGGGAAACUGGGGCUAAUACCUGAUAGGUGCGGAGGCCUGGAAUGGUUCUGCACUGAAAGGGCUUCGAGAACGUGCUCUUGGAGUUGCCCAAGGAUGAGACUGCGGCCGAUCAGGUUGUUGGUGGGGUAACGGCCCACCAAGCCUAUAACCGGUACGGGCUCUGAGAGGAGGGGCCCGGAGAUGGGAACUGAGACAAGGUCCCAGGUCCUACGGGGCGCAGCAGGUGCGAAAACUCCACAAUGCGCGAAUGCGUGAUGGGGUUAACCCGAGUGCCGUCCGAUGAGGAUGGCUUUUCCUCAGUUUAAGGAGCUGGGGGAAUAAAGGGGGGGCAAGUCUGGUGUCAGCCGCCGCGGUAAUACCAGCCCCCUGAGUGGUAGGGACGAUUAUUUGGCCUAAAGCGUCCGUAGCCGGCUUGGCAAGUCUUUCGUUAAAUCCGACGAUUUAAUCGCCGGGCCGCGGAAGAUACUACUAGGCUUGAGGACGGGAGAGGUUGACGGUAGUCCCAGGGUAGGGGUGAAAUCCUAUAAUCCUGGGAGGACCACCAGUGGCGAAGGCGGUCGACUAGAACGUGCCUGACGGUGAUGGACGAAAGCUGGGGGAGCGAACCGGAUUAGACACCCGGGUAGUCCCAGCUGUAAACGAUGCGGGCUAGGUGUUGGGGUAGCUACGAGCUACUCCAGUGCCGCAGAGAAGUCGUUAAGCCCGCCGCCUGGGAAGUACGGCCGCUAGGCUGAAACUUAAAG
rnacentral:rRNA from 1 species